rnacentral:rRNA from 1 species
UACGUAGGGUGCAAGCGUUAAUCGGAAUUACUGGGCGUAAAGCGUGCGCAGGCGGUUUUGUAAGUCUGACGUGAAAUCCCCGAGCUUAACUUGGGAAUUGCGUUGGAGACUGCAAGGCUAGAGUCUGGCAGAGGGGGGUAGAAUUCCACGUGUAGCAGUGAAAUGCGUAGAGAUGUGGAGGAACACCGAUGGCGAAGGCAGCCCCCUGGGUCAAGACUGACGCUCAUGCACGAAAGCGUGGGGAGCAAACAGG